rnacentral:rRNA from 1 species
GCCGGAUGCUCCAGUUGAUCGCAUGGUCUUCUGGGAAAGCUUUCGCGGUAUGGGAUGGGGUCGCGUCCUAUCAGCUUGACGGCGGGGUAACGGCCCACCGUGGCUUCGACGGGUAGCCGGCCUGAGAGGGCGACCGGCCACAUUGGGACUGAGAUACGGCCCAGACUCCUACGGGAGGCAGCAGUGGGGAAUAUUGCACAAUGGGCGCAAGCCUGAUGCAGCGACGCCGCGUGAGGGAUGGAGGCCUUCGGGUUGUAAACCUCUUUUAUCGGGGAGCAAGCGAGAGUGAGUUUACCCGUUGAAUAAGCACCGGCUAACUACGUGCCAGCAGCCGCGGUAAUACGUAGGGUGCAAGCGUUAUCCGGAAUUAUUGGGCGUAAAGGGCUCGUAGGCGGUUCGUCGCGUCCGGUGUGAAAGUCCAUCGCUUAACGGUGGAUCCGCGCCGGGUACGGGCGGGCUUGAGUGCGGUAGGGGAGACUGGAAUUCCCGGUGUAACGGUGGAAUGUGUAGAUAUCGAAAAGAGAA